rnacentral:lncRNA from 1 species
AUUUUUUAAAAAAAUCUUUUCACUGCUUUCCCUGCCCCCUCCUCUUGCUCUCUGUACACCCCGUUCUGAAACUCCUUCAAAUGAUUUGAAUUAACACUUGUCCUGUUUCUUGAGGAAGUUAUUGAAGGCUUGGUGGUGGUGACAUUAAACUGAUGAAAAUUCUUCUUCGCCUUAGUGGUGAUUGUUUAAACUCUCACAGUCUUAAACCAUGCCAAAGUCCUGUUAUGUCUUGAACUUUUCUUCAAAGCAUUACACUUGUGAAUGUAUCUUCGUCUAAUGGGGUCGAAACUUGUUGUUCAGUAUUUUUUCAGGCUGAGGAUAUGAUGUUACUCUACACAGAUUGUGACGUUUAGUAUACAGUUGCCUUUUGUAAUAACUUUUCUUUUUGUAAAUACAUAUCCGUUGAUGCCAUAUUUAUCGUUUGUAAUUUAAUUAUUGCUGCAAGUGCCGGGAACUGAACAAUAUUUAUGGAUAAAUGUUUUCUAACAAAUUCUGUACAGCUUUUGAUUAUAACUACUUUAGCAUUAAACAAUUAUUGUUUUGAGAAAGGAACACAAUUUACAAUUUUUGAACCAUAUUGACUUUUGUUUUGUAACAGCCUCCUACAAAUAGGAGAUGUGAGUAAAUUGAAUUUUGUUUGUUGGUAUUUAUAACUCACUCAGAUCCCUUUUUUAAUUGUUAAAUUAUUUUUCUAUUGCAGUCUAGAUUUCCUUACAAUGUCAGUUUCCAUCUGGGGAGGACCCUCCUUUCUUUAUCUCUAGCUCAGAUGGUUGUUUAACUGCGAGUUUAAAUGUGUUUGUCCUGGAUUUUCGGCAUGCAAAUCAAAUAAUACUGAUCAAUUCACUUAGUGGCCAUGACAUCUCAAUCUUGUACUUCAAAGACUGAGAAGCUGGAUUUAAUCAUUCCUGCCCUAUAUAUAUAUAUAUAAACAUAAGGUAACCUAAUUAGUUUUAUGUCCCUUAGUUCUUUAUUACCUUACAAAAAAUGAAAAUGGUGGCAGGAUGCAUGUCUGUUGAGAGAUCACUCAUAUACCUAUAUGUUUGUAUCUAUGACUUACCUAAUCUGCCUAUCAAAUCUCUUUAGCUUCAAAAGAUAGCACACCUCUGAAAUGGCAGUGAGCAAGGCCAGUUGAACAGUGCUUCUCAUGGUGAAAGUGCUUCUUUAAAAAAAAAAAAACAAAAAACAAAAAAAC